AAUACACAGCAGCUAGUGUUACAUCUUCUUUGAGCGUCCAUUGAUUUGGGUCAAAUUGGACAUGUCUGGACAUUGAGGGGGAUUUCCUACUGGGAAUACUACACGUAGCUCUUCUUGAGCUUAGCACGGUCAUCUCUGUAGUCAAUGUGUAUGUAGAGUUUUACAGAUUUCAGAGCACAGUUGCCUGCCUCAUCUCCUCUAACCCCCUCCAUUGUACCGUGAGAUCUAUCUUGUCACUUCUGUUUUACAUGAGGAAUAACCUGAAUGAGACGGGGGCUCAUGUGGAUCACCUGUCCAAGGCUCCUCAGUUCUAAGAGGACAAGGAAAGACCCGAGGACGAGCGCAGACUGAUGGUCUGUACUUCCGGAUCCCAGAAACUAGGCUUGUUUUACAGUCUUCACAUCUCACGAUUUUCUUGCAAAAAACCCUGUGUCCGGCUCUGUGCGCACCCAUGCUGAAUGCUGGAGGAUUUCCACACCCAGCACAGAAGCUGAGUGGGCUCCGGUUCAUCUGAGCAUGCUAGUUUCUAGUCCAUAUUGGAGGGCUGUGCAAGCAUUUCAAGGUAGAGUGAUUAUUUGGCUUUAUUGAGGUGUGUCCUCCUUACCUCAUUAGUAAAAUCAUUCAUGCACAAACUGCUGAAGGGAAACAUGCAUUAAAAACUGCAAUGGACUGUGGCUUCAUGAGGCCAAAUUGUUUGAGGCUCUGUUUGGCCUACUUUUAACAUUUGCAAAGGACCAAGACCUGCUCCUGUCAUGGGAAACAGUGGAUGGACUGAGAACAUCUAGAGUUGGAAUUCUAUAAGGCAUAGAACGUUGGUUUACGUGGAGUUAACCAAGAGAAAGUCCAAAGGAGUCAACUGUUGGUUUCCGCCUGGAAUUUUCUUAAUCCUGGUUAAAGCACCUAAGAUCUUUAUGGCUUCAGGCUGGGCCUUGAAGUGGUAGGAGAGGUGUCUCGUUUUCCAGCAGACUCGCCUCUCCAGCUGCAUACCACAGUUGUCCUAUCAGCAGGGCACUUGGCAUGUGGUUUUUGUCAUGAGGAGAGGCAGUCAGGAAUUUGUACUUUGAUCUUCCCCACAGAGGUGGAUAUCUUCCCAGGACAAAGGGCAGGGAAACAGAAACUCCAAAAUGCUUAUGACCUUGCAAACACCUGUUUAGGGCUCUUGCUUAAAUGGUGACGAUUGGAGGUGAAUGUGGAAAAUUAUUAAAAUGAAUGUAGGACAUCAGCCUCAACAACAGGUGAGAAGGUGGUGCCCGCUGAUCCUGAAAUGCUGGCACUGCCCAAAAAGCUGGUGAUACCCAGCACAAGGCUGGGGGCCAAGAAUGUCCCUCCAAAUUGUUCUCGAGGGGUCUAUAACCUGCAAUGGUAAGGGCGGAGAAGGUGGUGGGCAAGUGGAGUUAGAGAGGACACCAGCUUCGGAAGCAGAUGCAUCCAGUUUUAAGUCUUGUUCUGAAACUGACUGAGUGACUGUUAGGGAUUGAACUGUGUCCCUGUGCUGGAUUUCUAUGAAGUCCUAACUCCAAAUGUGAUGGGAUUUGGAGACGGGGUUUCUGAGAGGUGACUGGAGUCCAAUGAAAUCAUAGGGAGAGAUGCUGAUCCAACGGGAUUGGGGGCUUCCUAAGAAGAGGGGGAGAGAGAUCUGCUAUUUCUCCUGCCACAUGAGGACAGGGUAAGAAAGGGGCAUCUGCAAGCCUGGAAGAGAGCCCUCACCAGACACAGAAUUUCCUGGUACUGGAACUGAAAGGAAAUGAGUUUGUGCUGUUCAAGGCACCCAGGCUGUGAUAUUUUGUGAGGGCAGCCCAGGUUGACUAAGACAGUGACUUAAAUUAUUCAACCUCAAAUGCUUCCCAACAGCCUCUUGAUGUAAAAUGGAGAUUAUAACACUGACCUCAAAGAGAUGAUAAAAUUCAAUGAAAUAAUAUCUGCGAGAGGAGCGGCUCCUUGUAGAUGCACCAACGUUCUGUUUUCCAGUCAUCUGUGAGCUUCAACCACCAAAGCCACACUGCAUUCAUUUUAGUUCUCCCAGAGCCUGGCACAGAGGAAGUUCUCAGUGAGUAGUGGCUGAAGGAACAAAUAAUAAACGACGGAUGGGGUCUUGCUCUGUUGCUGAGGCUGGCGUGCAGUAGUGUGAUCACGGCUCCCUGCAGUCUCGACCUCCUGGGCUUAAGCGAUCCUCAUCUCAGUCUCCUGAGUAGCUACAGGUGCUGCCCGAUCACCUUAACAGCCCUCUGGGACCCGUGGCCGUGUGUUCGCAACAGCAGCCAUGGCAGGUGUUUCCUGAGCUCUUCUCAUGACCUCUGUCAGCUCCAUCUCAUUGAUCCUCCUAGCAACUCACAGGGAUGAAGAGGUUUCUGUCCAGAUGAGGAAACUGGGCGUUUGGCUCAAGCUGUUGAUAUGCCAGAGUCCCACAGCGGUAGCUUCCCAUAGAGGCAGAUGCCACACAAGCCACCCACCCAGAUGCAGAGCCUGAUUCCCUGUGUGGACUGGACGGCAGUUUCUCAGCUGCAGUUCUCUGGGCCAAGCUGCCUGUGACAUGGGGUUGGGGGUGCUCCAGAGAGUCAUGGCUGUCCCCAGAGGAAGUGACUUGUGGCUGACUGCUCAAGGGGAAGUCCUGUGGUGGUGGAGUCGUCAGCAUUCAUUCAAAUAAGUGGGGCUAUCAAGCUGACCUCACGGAAGUGCAGGGAGGAAGGAACUGCAUGAGAUCGUCGAGAUAGUUACGUGCCUGGGCCACAGAAGGUGAGCAACGAGGAAUCUCAAGAGGUGGUUUCCACACCAUGAACUGACACGGCACCAGGAUCUGGAAGCUCUGGGCUUCUCUGUCUUCUAGAAUUCUGGGGGCCUCACAUGGCCGCCUCCUCGGCGAGUGUGUUAGGCUGUUCUUGUAUUGCUGAAAUAUAAAUACAUACCUGCGAUUGGGUCAUUUAUAAAGAAAAGGUUCAUUGGCUCACCGUUCUGCAGUCUGUACAGGAAGCAUGAUGCUGGCAUCUGCUCAGCUUCUGGAGAGGUCUCAGGAAGCUUCCAAUUGUGGAGGAAGAUGAAGGGGAAGUGGGCAUCUCACAUGUCCGGAGCAGCAGCAAGAGAGUGAAGAGGGAGGGGCUACACGCUUUUAAAUAACCAGAUCUUGCAAGAACUCACUCGCUAUGGCGAGGAUCGUACUAAGGGGGAUGCUGCUGAACUGUUCGUGAGAAAUCUGCUGCCAUGAUCCAGUCCCCUCCCAUCAGGCCCAACUCCAACACUGGGGAUUCCAUUUCAAUGUGAGAUUUGGGCAGGGACACACAUCCAAACUAUGUUACGGAGAGACCAACACAGAGAGGACAGGGAAAGCUGGCUGCUGGGCCUGUUCAGGAGUAUGUCUGUCACAUGCGGGUCUGCAGUCUGGACCCUCUAGAAGAAUCACAGCAUGUUCUCUCACAGACACACAGAAACCCAAAGAGGCCAACUGAGUCUGGUCUGGAUUAUCUAUGAUUUAAUUUUGAUUAUUGUAAAAUUAAACUUCCAGAGCUGUAUAAGGUGUAUUCUCAGUGAGUUUCCACACUGCCUGGGAGUGCUGGUGACACUUCUGUUUGCCUGGACGCACCCUCCCUCCCUGUCCUCACCCCGAGGUAUAGUCUCAUGCAGACUCUGUGCACACUACAAGUUUUAUGACUGUAGGAUUCACCUUCCCAUUCUGUAGACAAGGACAUUCGGGCUUCGGGAGCUUGAAGGGAGUUAUCAAAGGCCACUCAGCUGGUAAGUGAACCUGAUCCACAAGCUUUUCCUUUUUUAAAUCCAGCACUCUUUUGCAACAGAGCAAAUAGAAAGAAGCUUCAUUCAGGAUGGACUAGGGGAUGGCCUAAGGCUGCAGGGCUGCUGGGAGUGACAGCAUGAUGGGGGGAGGGGGGAGGGAGAGGCAGAGGCAUCGGGAUCAGGGAUGGGCCCUCCAUUCUGGCCUCUGUUACCAAUUUGCUCUGGAAUCUGUAAAAUGGCAGUUUGGAUGUUACAGACUGAGCUGUGCCUUUCAAACCAUAUGAGAAGCCUUAACCUUCAGUGCCUCACAAUGGGACUGUAUUUGGAGACAGAGGGCCUAGGUCUCCAAAUAGGUUAAUUAAAUUAAAAUGAGGUCAUUAGGAUGGGCCCUAAUCUGGUGUGACUGGUGUCCUUGUAAGAAUAGAGAUUAGGACACAGACACUCACAGAGGGAUGACCAUAUGAGGACACAGGGAGGAGGUGGCAUCUGCAUUCCUAAGAGGGAGGCCUUAGAAGGAAUCAGUGCUGCGGACACCUCGAUCUCGGACUUCCCGCCUCCGAGAAACUGCGAGAAAGGCAUCUCUGUUGUUUAAGGCUCCAGUGUGGUGCUUGUUAUGGCAGCUGGAGCAGAUGAACACAGACGCGAUCAUUCCAUAGUAUGAAUUUCCAGCGAUGGCAAACGCCAGUGUACAGCAACGGCAUUUCUUGCCUGCUGGCCACCAUGGAUUCGUGAGCUGUCCAUGGCCAUGCUUGACUUGGAGUUGAACAAAUGAGAUUGGGUCCGGGGAGAUUUCUGGGGCCUGAGGAUUUGGAACUGGUGUUUUUCUAUCCAGGAGGCUCUUCCGUGAGCCCCCUUCCUUACUACCACUAACCCCUCUCAGAUGCCUUGCAUGGCAGGCUGAUGGGUUCAUCUGCCCCCCAGAGUUCCACAUCCCUGGCAGGUUUUGCCCAAUGAGCAGGUAAGUGUGGCAGAAGGAAAGAAGAGUGGCUUAUUAAGUAUUUGUAUUAUUCGGGGUUCUCUAGAGAGACAGGACUAAUAGGACAGAUGUAUAUCUAAAAGGGAGUUUAUUAAGGAUAUUCACCCAUGAGCACAAGGUGAAGUCCUACAAUAGGCUGUCUGCAAGCUGAGGAGCAAGGAAGCCAGUCCGAGUCCCCAAACCCCAAAAGUCAAGAAGCUGACAGUGCAGCCUUUAGUCUGUGGCCGAAGACCUGAGAGUCCCCGGCAAACCACUGCUGUGAGUCUGAGAGUCCAAGAGGCAGGAGGCAUCCAGCACAGGAGACAGGUGAGGCCGGAGGACUCAGCCAGUCUCGUCCUUCCACAUUCCUCUGCCUGCUUUACUCUAGCCACGCUGGCAGCUGAUUACCUGCUGCCCACCCAGAUUGCGGGUGGGUCUGCCUUUCCCAGUCCACGGACUCAAACGUGAGUGUCCUUUGGCAGCACCCUCACAGACGCACCCGGGAACAAUACUCCGCAUCCUUCAGGCCCAUCAAGUGGACACUAUUAACCAUCACAGUAGUGUUGAAAGAGCAAAGAGAAAAAUUGGCAAUGAUCUUCUCAUGGUCAGAAGCCAGCAAAAUGGGAAUGGGAAAGGGUGUUAUUUACGGUCCUUAUUGGUGGAGCUAGCGGGCACGGGAGGCAUGUCUUGUCCAGCCUGUGCCUUAUUACAGAUGGAAACGGAGGCAUGGGAGGGCAGAGAGAAACAGUGCCUUGCCCCAGGCAGAGCUGAAGCCACACACUCCUGACCGCCACUCCCCCUAGAUCAUCCUCAUUUGGGAAUAGGAAAGGGAGAGAAUGAGUUCGUGUCGUUUGUAGGGACAAGGAUGAAUCUGGAGAACGUCAUCCUCAGCACAAGAACAGAAAAUGAAACACCGCAUAUUCUCACUCAUAGGCGGGUGAUGAAAAAUGAGAACACAUGGACACAGGGAGGGGAGUACUAAAC